rnacentral:tRNA from 1 species
GCCUGGGUGGCUCAGUCGGUUAAGCGUCUGACUUUGGCUCAGGACAUGAGCCCAUGGUUCAGGGGUUCAAGCCCCAUAUCGGGCU